rnacentral:rRNA from 1 species
UACGUAGGGUGCAGGCGUUAAUCGGAAUUACUGGGCGUAAAGCGUGCGCAGGCGGUUAUGUAAGACAGGGGUGAAAUCCCCGGGCUUAACCUGGGAACUGCAUUUGUGACUGCAUAGCUAGAGUACGGUAGAGGGGGAUGGAAUUCCGCGUGUAGCAGUGAAAUGCGUAGAUAUGCGGAGGAACACCGAUGGCGAAGGCAAUCCCCUGGACCUGUACUGACGCUCAUGCACGAAAGCGUGGGGAGCAAACAGG